UUAAGCGACUAAGCGUACACGGUGGAUGCCUAGGCAGUCAGAGGCGAUGAAGGGCGUGCUAAUCUGCGAAAAGCGUCGGUAAGGUGAUAUGAACCGUUAUAACCGACGAUACCCGAAUGGGGAAACCCAGUGCAAUUCGUUGCACUAUUGCAUGGUGAAUACAUAGCCAUGCAAGGCGAACCGGGGGAACUGAAACAUCUAAGUACCCCGAGGAAAAGAAAUCAACCGAGAUUCCCCCAGUAGCGGCGAGCGAACGGGGAGGAGCCCAGAACCUGAAUCAGCAUAUGUGUUAGUGGAAGCGUCUGGAAAGUCGCACGGUACAGGGUGAUAGUCCCGUACACAAAAAUGCAUAUGUUGUGAGUUCGAUGAGUAGGGCGGGACACGUGACAUCCUGUCUGAAUAUGGGGGGACCAUCCUCCAAGGCUAAAUACUCCUGACUGACCGAUAGUGAACCAGUACCGUGAGGGAAAGGCGAAAAGAACCCCGGCGAGGGGAGUGAAAUAGAACCUGAAACCGUGUACGUACAAGCAGUGGGAGCACCUUCGUGGUGUGACUGCGUACCUUUUGUAUAAUGGGUCAGCGACUUAUAUUUUGUAGCAAGGUUAACCGAAUAGGGGAGCCGUAGGGAAACCGAGUCUUAACUGGGCGAAUAGUUGCAAGGUAUAGACCCGAAACCCGGUGAUCUAGCCAUGGGCAGGUUGAAGGUUGGGUAACACUAACUGGAGGACCGAACCGACUAAUGUUGAAAAAUUAGCGGAUGACUUGUGGCUGGGGGUGAAAGGCCAAUCAAACCGGGAGAUAGCUGGUUCUCCCCGAAAGCUAUUUAGGUAGCGCCUCGUGAACUCAUCUUCGGGGGUAGAGCACUGUUUCGGCUAGGGGGUCAUCCCGACUUACCAAACCGAUGCAAACUCCGAAUACCGAAGAAUGUUAUCACGGGAGACACACGGCGGGUGCUAACGUCCGUCGUGAAGAGGGAAACAACCCAGACCGCCAGCUAAGGUCCCAAAGUCAUGGUUAAGUGGGAAACGAUGUGGGAAGGCAUAGACAGCCAGGAUGUUGGCUUAGAAGCAGCCAUCAUUUAAAGAAAGCGUAAUAGCUCACUGGUCGAGUCGGCCUGCGCGGAAGAUGUAACGGGGCUAAACCAUGCACCGAAGCUGCGGCAGCGACGCUUAGGCGUUGUUGGGUAGGGGAGCGUUCUGUAAGCCGUUGAAGGUGACCUGUGAGGGUUGCUGGAGGUAUCAGAAGUGCGAAUGCUGACAUAAGUAACGAUAAUGCGGGUGAAAAACCCGCACGCCGGAAGACCAAGGGUUCCUGUCCAACGUUAAUCGGGGCAGGGUGAGUCGACCCCUAAGGCGAGGCUGAAAAGCGUAGUCGAUGGGAAACAGGUUAAUAUUCCUGUACUUGGUGUUACUGCGAAGGGGGGACGGAGAAGGCUAGGCUAGCCGGGCGACGGUUGUCCCGGUUUAAGCAUGUAGGCGGAGUGACUUGGUAAAUCCGGUUGCUUAUCAACGCUGAGGUGUGAUGACGAGUCACUACGGUGAUGAAGUAGUUGAUGCCAAGCUUCCAGGAAAAGCCUCUAAGCAUCAGGUAACAUUAAAUCGUACCCCAAACCGACACAGGUGGUCAGGUAGAGAAUACUCAGGCGCUUGAGAGAACUCGGGUGAAGGAACUAGGCAAAAUGGUGCCGUAACUUCGGGAGAAGGCACGCUGGCAUUAGGUAAAGGGACUUGCUCCCGGAGCUGAAGCCAGUCGCAGAUACCAGCUGGCUGCAACUGUUUAAUAAAAACACAGCACUGUGCAAACACGAAAGUGGACGUAUACGGUGUGACGCCUGCCCGGUGCUGGAAGGUUAAUUGAUGGGGUCAGCCGCAAGGCGAAGCUCUUGAUCGAAGCCCCAGUAAACGGCGGCCGUAACUAUAACGGUCCUAAGGUAGCGAAAUUCCUUGUCGGGUAAGUUCCGACCUGCACGAAUGGCGUAAUGAUGGCCAGGCUGUCUCCACCCGAGACUCAGUGAAAUUGAACUCGCUGUGAAGAUGCAGUGUACCCGCGGCAAGACGGAAAGACCCCGUGAACCUUUACUAUAGCUUGACACUGAACAUUGAGCCUUGAUGUGUAGGAUAGGUGGGAGGCAUUGAAGUGUGGACGCCAGUCUGCAUGGAGCCAACCUUGAAAUACCACCCUUUAAUGUUUGAUGUUCUAACUCGGCCCCGUGAUCCGGGGUGAGGACAGUGUCUGGUGGGUAGUUUGACUGGGGCGGUCUCCUCCCAAAGAGUAACGGAGGAGCACGAAGGUUAGCUAAUCACGGUCGGACAUCGUGAGGUUAGUGCAAAGGCAUAAGCUAGCUUGACUGCGAGAGUGACGGCUCGAGCAGGUACGAAAGUAGGUCUUAGUGAUCCGGUGGUUCUGAAUGGAAGGGCCAUCGCUCAACGGAUAAAAGGUACUCCGGGGAUAACAGGCUGAUACCGCCCAAGAGUUCAUAUCGACGGCGGUGUUUGGCACCUCGAUGUCGGCUCAUCACAUCCUGGGGCUGAAGUAGGUCCCAAGGGUAUGGCUGUUCGCCAUUUAAAGUGGUACGCGAGCUGGGUUUAGAACGUCGUGAGACAGUUCGGUCCCUAUCUGCCGUGGGCGUUGGAAGAUUGAGAGGGGCUGCUCCUAGUACGAGAGGACCGGAGUGGACGAAUCACUGGUGUUCGGGUUGUCAUGCCAAUGGCAUUGCCCGGUAGCUAAAUUCGGAAGAGAUAACCGCUGAAAGCAUCUAAGCGGGAAACUUGCCUCGAGAUGAGUCUUCCCUGGGGCUUUAAGCCCCCUGAAGGAACGUUAAAGACUAUGACGUUGAUAGGCUGGGUGUGUAAGUGCAGCGAUGCAUUGAGCUAACCAGUACUAAUGAUCCGUGAGGCUUAACCUU
rnacentral:rRNA from 1 species